rnacentral:rRNA from 1 species
AACGAACGCUGGCGGCAUGCCUAACACAUGCAAGUCGAACGAGACCUUCGGGUCUAGUGGCGCACGGGUGCGUAACGCGUGGGAACCUGCCCUUAGGUUCGGAAUAACUCCCCGAAAGGGGUGCUAAUACCGGAUAAUGUCUUCGGACCAAAGAUUUAUCGCCUUUGGAUGGGCCCGCGUUGGAUUAGCUAGUUGGUAGGGUAAAAGCCUACCAAGGCGACGAUCCAUAGCUGGUCUGAGAGGAUGAUCAGCCACACUGGGACUGAGACACGGCCCAGACUCCUACGGGAGGCAGCAGUGGGGAAUAUUGGACAAUGGGCGAAAGCCUGAUCCAGCAAUGCCGCGUGAGUGAUGAAGGCCUUAGGGUUGUAAAGCUCUUUCACCCGGGAUGAUAAUGACAGUACUGGGAGAAUAAGCUCCGGCUAACUCCGUG